UGCCCCCAGGGCAUAUCUCCCAGUGGCAAAGGGGAGGGCGGAUAGGGCUCAGCGCGGCAGUGUGCAGAGUUCGAUUCUCCGCAAGGUGGAAUUGACUUUGUUGCAAGCGGGAGUUACCAUAUGGGUUAACAGCCUUGGCCUAUCCAUGUGCUCUCCACCCUGGCUCCUGGGAGGCACAUCCUGCGAUUUACCUCCUCCACGAUGACCCAGGGCAGGAUCGG
rnacentral:lncRNA from 1 species